rnacentral:rRNA from 1 species
UACGGGGGGGGCAAGCGUUGUUCGGAAUUACUGGGCGUAAAGGGCUCGUAGGCGGCCAACUAAGUCAGACGUGAAAUCUCUCGGCUCAACCGAGAAACGUCGGCUGAUACUGCCGUUCUUGAGGGAUGCAGAGGAGACUGGAAUUCCUGGUGUAGCGGUGAAAUGCGCAGAUAUCAGGAGGAACACCGAUGGCGAAGGCAGGUCUCUGGGCCACUACUGACGCUGAGAAGCGAAAGCAUGGGGAGUGAACAGG